GGGCGUCCUGCGAGGCUUUCAGGCUGCUGAGCCUGUUCCUUGGCUGGGGUCGGUAGGGCUUGGAGCCAGCCGUUCAAAGUCACCCCUGGGAAGCGCCCGCAACCCUUGGGGACGCCUCUCCUCCGGCUGCCCCCCUUCCCUGGAAUCCAGGUGUCACUGGGGCCGGGGAGGGGCUAGGAGCUCGGAUUUCUGCUUUGGGAAGUUUUUACAAGCCCACCCUCCCCCUGCCUUGGUUCCCCGAGCCAAGAAUUUCAGAAAUCCGGGGCACAAAAACGCCAGUGUUUGCGGUCAAGGAUUAAAGGCGCGAGGUGUCUUUAUUUAAUCUGCUCCGCCCUGCUCGGGUUUGCACGAGAAACCAAGCCUGGGAGCGACGGUCCACGCAAGCGGAGACACAGAAACAAUGGAAUAUUAACAGCGGUUUUCUGAAGAUCCAGUUGGACAAUUUUCAUUUUCAUCAUAUAAUGGACAUUUAUCUCCUACCUGCAUUAUCCACUGUCUUCCCUCGGAGACCACAAAUUUCACUGAAGGCAGCAUCUAUGUCUUAUUCAUGCUUGUGCUCUCUACCUCCCCUGACCCAGAAGGACUUAUUCUUCUUUCUGCACAUUUUAGUAGAUGUGUUAAAAAAAAAAAAAAAAAGUUUGUUAAGAAGAUGUUUUAAUGGAAGGUGUGUCAGGCAUAUGGCAGGAUACAUGACCAUAUUUUUGGAGCAUGCAACACCUCGUAGCCCAUCUCUAUCAUAGCCUAUUUUCUCCGCCUGUAUGUAUGGAUAAUCCUAUUCAACAUUUUUAAGGUCUAGAAGCUGCUAGGUCACUAGAAAGUAAUUUUGCUAUGAUGUGAAGAGGUUCUCUAUGAUGAUGUAUGACUGAUAAAUUAUGAUGAUUAAUGUCAGAAUAUAAGGGUCACUGCCUAACUCAUUCUCUGUUAUCAGUAGAGGGAAAGGAGCUGCUUUCUCUUCACUAUUUUUUUCUAGAAGAAUUUUCUAUCCCUGUGUUUUCCAGUAUAGUGACUACUAGCCAUUUAGGCACGUAAGAUGUGGCUAGUUCUGAGAUGUGAAAUAGAUGUUAACACAUUGAAUUUCAAAGACUUAGUACAAAAAAAAGCAAAAUAUCUUAAUUUGUAUAGUGAUUACAUGUUGAAGUGGUAAUAUUUUGGAUAUUUGUGUUAAAUAAAAUAGAUUAUUAGAAUUUAUUUUACCUGCUUUUUCCUUUUUUAAUAUAGCUACUAGGAAAUUAAAAAUUACAUGUAUAGCUCAUAUCAUAUAUUAUGCAGCACUGAUCUAGAAAACCAAGAAUCUGAUUCCCAGGAUCACAAUUCGAGAUGAUGACCAGCCCAUUAAAAUGGCCAUUUAUGACUUUGCCCUUGAAAUGUUCAUGCAGGGAACUACGAGGGCUUUGCAAGGUCAGUACAGUAUCAUAGACUGAGCAGAAGUCUGAAGAAAGUCCAAAACUAGCACUUGAGCCUACCCCCAGGGAAGACCUACAAAUAGAAGCAGGUUUCAUCAGCAGUACACAGCUGAAAACUCUAACUGAAUUCAUCUGCCUAGAAGCCCACCUCAAAUGCUGCCCUGGUUAAGAGAGCAAGAUAAGCUGGAGAAAGGAGGGAUCGGAGAAAAUGGUUUUGACACCCAGCUGUACCAUUUAUAUCCUGUUUUGUUUUGUUUGAUAAAGUGAUACUAACAAUCCUUGCCUUGUCAAUCUCACUGGGUCAAUGGGUCAUAGGACAUGAAAGGGCUUUGCAAACUCACCCUCGCUAUACUAAAGUAAGAGAAUAUUAUUGACAAGAAUGGAGAUAAUGUUGAUGCGUCCUGAUACAGUACUCAGUUCCAAACCAAACUUCAGAUUAUUGGGGCAGCACUAUUCCCAAUUUUCUCUCAGGCAUAAGAUUUCAAUUGCCUAUGGAGUGUAAUUGGAUUGUGACUCAAAGAAUAAAUGUUUGAGGGGGAUGGAUAGCCCAUUCUCCAUGAUGCGCUUAUUUCACAUUGCAUGCCUAUAUCAAAAUAUGUACCCCAAAAUGUAUACACCUACUAUGUACCUGUAAAAAAUUUAAAAAAAAAGAACAGAAUCACCUAUGAAUGUCACAAUGAGCCUUGAGUGCUUUAAUUAAUAACUCUAAAUGACACUUAAAUGGCAAGAAAGAAUGUCCAACACCCAAUCAUAGAAUUCAAUCUAUAUUUUGGCACUGACACUAUAUUAUCUAAUGUGAUGGACUACCAUUGACCAUGGAAAACAUCAGCAAAGACAAAUAGCUACUGCAUAGCUAGUCCAACUAGUCUCUCUUGGUCAUUGUGAAUGUUUUAUGGUGGAGGGAUAGAGUCACAGCCCUCGUGGAAACUCACAAAAUCCAUGGGCACUUGCCCCAGCACAACACAGAUACUGCAAA
rnacentral:lncRNA from 1 species